UGAGUGCGAGCUGCUACGGCAGCGAAGUGGGUGACGUCAAGCUUCCAAGAAAAGCCCUAUACCCGUUAAGGCAUGAUUGCCUGUACCCGAAACCGACACAGGUGGGGUGGUAGAGAAUACCGAGGGGCGCGAGGUAACUCUCUCUAAGGAACUCGGCAAAAUGGCCCCGUAACUUCGGGAGAAGGGGUGCCACCGCAAGGUGGUCGCAGUGAAGAGGCCCAGGCGACUGUUUACCAAAAACACAGGUCUCCGCUAAGUCGCAAGACGAUGUAUGGGGGCUGACGCCUGCCCAGUGCCGGAAGGUUAAGGAAGCUGGUCAGCGUAAGCGAAGCUGGCGACUGAAGCCCCGGUGAACGGCGGCCGUAACUAUAACGGUCCUAAGGUAGCGAAAUUCCUUGUCGGGUAAGUUCCGACCCGCACGAAAGGCGUAACGAUCUGGGCGCUGUCUCGGAGAGAGGCUCGGCGAAAUAGAAUUGUCUGUGAAGAUGCGGACUACGUGCACCCGGACAGAAAGACCCUAUGAAGCUUUACUGUAGCUUGGUAUUGUGCCCGGGCUCGCAAUGCGCAGGAUAGGUGGGGGGCUUUGAUCAUCGGCUUGCGGGUCGAUGUGAGCCACUGGUGAGAUACCACUCUUUGCGAGCUAGGGUUCUAACGGCCACCCGUGAUCCGGGGGCCGGACAGUAUCAGGUGGGCAGUUUGACUGGGGCGGUCGCCUCCUAAAAGGUAACGGAGGUCGCAAAGGUUCCCUCAGGCUGGUUGGAAAUCAGCCGACGAGUGUAAAGGCAGAAGGGAGCUUGACUGUGAGACCUACAAGUCGAACAGGGACGAAAGUCGGCCUUAGUGAUCCGACGGUUCUGAGUGGAAGGGCCGUCGCUCAACGGAUAAAAGUUACUCUAGGAUAACAGGCUGAUCUCCCCCAAGAUUCACAUCGACGGGGAGGUUUGGCACCUCGAUGUCGGCUCAUCGCAACCUGGGGCUGAAGUCGGUCCCAAGGGUUGGGCUGUUCGCCCAUUUAAGCGGUACGCGAGCUGGGUUCAGAACGUCGUGAGACAGUUCGGUCCAUAUCCGGUGCAUGCGCAGGAAUAUUGAGAGGAGUUCUCCCUAGUACGAGAGGACCGGGAGGAACGCACCUCUGGUGUACCAGUUAUCGUGCCAACGGUAAACGCUGGGUAGCCAUGUGCGGAGAGGAUAACCGCUGAAAGCAUCUAAGUGGGAAGCCCACCUCAAGAUGAGUAUUCCCAUGGCAUAAGCCAGUAAGGUCACGGGAAGAACACCCGUUGAUAGGCUCUACGUGGAAGCGCAGUAAUGCGUGAAGCGGAGGAGUACUAAUAGACCGAGGGCUUG
rnacentral:rRNA from 1 species